rnacentral:rRNA from 1 species
AUUGAACGCUGGCGGCAUGCCUUACACAUGCAAGUCGAACGGCAGCACGGGAGCAAUCCUGGUGGCGAGUGGCGAACGGGUGAGUAAAGCAUCGAAACGUGCCCAGUCGUGGGGGAUAACGUAGCGAAAGCUACGCUAAUACCGCAUACGAUCUGUGGAUGAAAGCGGGGGACCGUAAGGCCUCGCGCGAUUGGAGCGGCCGAUGUCAGAUUAGGUAGUUGGUGAGGUAAAGGCUCACCAAGCCGACGAUCUGUAGCUGGUCUGAGAGGACGACCAGCCACACUGGGACUGAGACACGGCCCAGACUCCUACGGGAGGCAGCAGUGGGGAAUUUUGGACAAUGGGCGCAAGCCUGAUCCAGCAAUGCCGCGUGCAGGAUGAAGGCCUUCGGGUUGUAAACUGCUUUUGUACGGAGCGAAACGGCUUCCACUAAUACUGGGGGCUAAUGACGGUACCGUAAGAAUAAGCACCGGCUAACUACGUGCCAGCCGCCGCAGUAAAAC